rnacentral:rRNA from 1 species
UACGUAGGGUGCGGGCGUUAAUCGGAAUUACUGGGCGUAAAGGGUGCGCAGGCGGUUUGUUAAGACAGGUGUGAAAUCCCCGGGCUUAACCUGGGAAUUGCGCUUGUAACUGGCAGGCUAGAGUGUGGCAGAGGGGGGUGGAAUUCCACGUGUAGCAGUGAAAUGCGUAGAUAUGUGGAGGAACACCGAUGGCGAAGGCAGCCCCCUGGGCUAACACUGACGCUCAUGCACGAAAGCGUGGGGAGCAAACAGG